rnacentral:rRNA from 1 species
AGGUAUCAUGGAGGGUGAGAAUCCCGUUCGGUUGACCUUAUGACGCUUUACGAUACGCUUUCAAAGAGUCGAGUUGUUUGGGAUUGCAAGCUUAAAUUGGGAGGUAAAUUUCUACCUAAGGCUAAAUAUCGGCGAGAGACCGUUGCGAACAAGUACCGUGAGGGAAAGAUGAAAAGAACCUUUGAAAAGAGAGUUAAUAGUACGUGAAAUUGUUGAAAGGGAAACGAUUGAAGUCAGUCAUGCCAGCGGGAAUCAACUUAGGGGAAACUCUGAGUGCACUUCUCCGUUUGGCAGGUUAGCGUCGAUUUUGGAUGUCAUAAAAUAAUUGGGGGAAGGUAGCUCCUUCGGGAGUGUUAAUAGCCCUUGGUAGAUGUGAUGUCUGGGAUCGAGGAUUGCAACGGAUACCCUUCGGGGUUAACCGCCUGGUCU